UAGACCGGGCUGGCGGCCCACGGGCUUUAAAGGCCUGAGGAAACUUCACCCUCCCCACGGUAGUGGGACCCCGCGAGGGGUACGGGGAGACCCGUGGCAAUGCCACAGAAACGACACGCCCUCCAGGAGAUGCCUAUGAGGCGGAGAGGCAGACCUGGCAACAGGUCUGCAGUAACCCCCUGAGCACCUUGGAGGAAGCGGUGAAACGGGUAUCCCUCACGGAGCAAGGCUGCCGGCCGAUGAAUAACCGUGAAAGGCCGGUGAGACCGCAGAGUCGAAUGCCGCCGUAGUACAGAAGGUGAGUUAUAGCCCGGGCUA
rnacentral:RNase_P_RNA from 1 species